rnacentral:rRNA from 1 species
AUUGAACGCUGGCGGCAGGCCUAACACAUGCAAGUCGAGCGAGCGGCGGACGGGUGAGUAAUGUAUGGGGAACUGCCCGAUAGAGGGGGAUAACUACUGGAAACGUUGGCUAAUACCGCAUACUAUCGGAUGAGCCAAUCUGGGAUUAGCUAGUUGGUGGGGUGAAUGCUAACCUAGGCGACGAUCCCUAGCGGGUCUGAGAGGAUGAUCAGCCGCACUGGGACUGAGACACGGCCCAGACUCCUACGGGAGGCAGCAGUGGGGAAUAGUGCACAAUGGGCGCAAGCCUGAUGCAGCCAUGCCGCGUGUAUGAAGAAGGCCUUAGGGUUGUAAAGUACUUUCAGCGGGGAGGCGUUACCCGCAGAAGAAGCACCGGCUAACUCCGUGCCAGCAGCCGCGGUAAUAC